GAGACAGCAGUAGCCGCGGUAAUACCGAGGGUGCGAGCGUUAAUCGGAUUUACUGGGCGUAAAGCGUGCGUAGGCGGCUUCUUAAGUCGGAUGUGAAAUCCCUGAGCUUAACUUAGGAAUUGCAUUCGAUACUGGGAAGCUAGAGUAUGGGAGAGGAUGGUAGAAUUCCAGGUGUAGCGGUGAAAUGCGUAGAGAUCUGGAGGAAUACCGAUGGCGAAGGCAGCCAUCUGGCCUAAUACUGACGCUGAGGUACGAAAGCAUGGGGAGCAAACAGGAUUAGAUACCCCAGUAGUCCCUGUCUCUUAUAC
rnacentral:rRNA from 1 species